GUAGCAACUAAAGAGGCCAUGACCAUCA
rnacentral:sRNA from 1 species